rnacentral:rRNA from 2 species
GACGUAGGAGGCGAGCGUUGUCCGGAGUUACUGGGCGUAAAGCGCGCGCAGGCGGUCACGCAGGUCAUCUGUGAAAGCACUCGGCUCAACCGGGAUGUUGCGGGUGAAACCGCGUGACUGGAGGGUGGGAGAGGUCGGUGGAAUUCCCGGUGUAGUGGUGAAAUGCGUAGAGAUCGGGAGGAACACCCGUAGCGAAGGCGGCCGACUGGACCACACCUGACGCUGAGGCGCGAAGGCCAGGGGAGCGAACGGG